GUUCUAAGAUAGCUCAGUUGGUAGAACAUGAGACUGUUAAUCUCAGGGUUGUGGGUUCAAGCCCCAUGUUGAGCA